rnacentral:sRNA from 2 species
CUCUUUCUCCUGUUUUCGAUUAGCAUCUAUGGGUCUUGCAGAUAUGAUGUCUCCUGGUGAAUCCAAACUGCCCCUGCCUCUCAAAGCAGACGGCAAAGAAGAAGGCACUCCACAGCCCGAGAGCAAGUCAAAGGAUAGCUACAGCUCUCAGGGUAUUUCUCAGCCCCCAACCCCAGGCAACCUGCCAGUCCCUUCCCCAAUGUCCCCCAGCUCUGCUAGCAUCUCCUCAUUUCAUGGAGAUGAAAGUGAUAGCAUUAGCAGCCCAGGCUGGCCAAAGACUCCAUCAAGCCCUAAGUCCAGCUCCUCCACCACUACUGG